CCUACGGGCGGCUGCAGUGGGGAAUAUUGCACAAUGGGCGCAAGCCUGAUGCAGCCAUGCCGCGUGUGUGAAGAAGGCCUUCGGGUUGUAAAGCACUUUCAGCGGGGAGGAAGGCGUUAAGGUUAAUAACCUUGUCGAUUGACGUUACCCGCAGAAGAAGCACCGGCUAACUCCGUGCCAGCAGCCGCGGUAAUACGGAGGGUGCAAGCGUUAAUCGGAAUUACUGGGCGUAAAGCGCACGCAGGCGGUCUGUCAAGACGGAUGUGAAAUCCCCGGGCUCAACCUGGGAACUGCAUUCGAAACUGGCAGGCUAGAGUCUUGUAGAGGGGGGUAGAAUUCCAGGUGUAGCGGUGAAAUGCGUAGAGAUCUGGAGGAAUACCGGUGGCGAAGGCGGCCCCCUGGACAAAGACUGACGCUCAGGUGCGAAAGCGUGGGGAGCAAACAGGAUUAGAUACCCUAGUAGUC
rnacentral:rRNA from 1 species